GUGUUAAUAUUGAUUCACUUAUAGGGUUUUUGCAUCAGAACUAAACACAUCUAUUCAAAAACAAGUUGUUGGUAUGACACAGGUUUUGUUCUUCUCAUAUAUGUUGUGAUGGUAUGAUACUAAACCCCUAAUGGGAAGGAUUGUACCUGAUACUCAUAUGAUGAAACCAUAACCUUUCAAUCAGUUUAAUUGAAGUCUGGAGCUGGCAUGUC
rnacentral:lncRNA from 1 species